CGGAUUGUAGUCUGCAACUCGACUACAUGAAGCUGGAAUCGCUAGUAAUCGCAGAUCAGAAUGCUGCGGUGAAUACGUUCCCGGGUCUUGUACACACCGCCCGUCACACCAUGGGAGUCGGAAAUGCCCGAAGCCGGUGACCCAACCAAAAGGAGGGAGCCGUCGAAGGCAGGUCUGAUAACUGGGGUGAAGUCGUAACAAGGUAUC
rnacentral:rRNA from 1 species